rnacentral:rRNA from 1 species
UACGGAGGGUGCAAGCGUUGUCCGGAUUUAUUGGGUUUAAAGGGUGCGUAGGCGGCUAAUUAAGUCAGCGGUGAAAUUCCACAGCUCAACUGUGGAACUGCCAUUGAUACUGGUUGGCUUGAGUACAGAUGAGGUAGGCGGAAUUGACAGUGUAGCGGUGAAAUGCUUAGAUAUUGUCAAGAACACCUAUUGCGAAGGCAGCUUACUAAGCUGUAACUGACGCUGAGGUACGAAAGCGUGGGGAUCAAACAGG